rnacentral:rRNA from 1 species
CACGUAGGGGGCAAGCGUUGUCCGGAUUUAUUGGGCGUAAAGAGCUCGUAGGCGGCUCAGUAAGUCAGGUGUGAAACCUCCAGGCUCAACCUGGAGACGCCACCCGAUACUGCUGUGGCUUGAGUCCGGUAGGGGAGCGUGGAAUUCCUGGGUGUAGCGGUGAAAUGCGCAGGAUAUCGAGGAGGAACACCCGUGGCGAAGGCGGCUCUCUGGAACGCAACUGACGCUGAGACGCGAAAGCGUGGGGAGCAAACAGG